GAUGAAGAACGUAGCGAAACGCGAUAUGUAAUGUGAAUUGCAGAAUUCAGUGAAUCAUCGAAUCUUUGAACGCACAUGGCGCCUUCCAGUAUCCUGGGAGGCAUGCCUGUCCGAGCGUCGUUUCAACCCUCGAGCCCCCGUGGCCCGGCGUUGGGGAUCUGCCACGGCAGGCCCCUAAAACCAGUGGCGGACCCGAAGGCCCUCUCCUUUGCGCAGUAGCAUCAGCCUCGCAUUGGGAUCCCUCGGCGUCCUGCCUAUAAACCCCCCACAAGUCCGCUCCGGCGGCACCAAGGUUGACCUCGGAUCAGGUAGGAAUACCCGCUGAACUUAAGCAUAUCAAUAAGCGGAGGA
rnacentral:misc_RNA from 1 species